UGAGGAAUAUUGGACAAUGGGCGCAAGCCUGAUCCAGCCAUGCCGCGUGCAGGAUGAAGCAUCUAUGGUGUGUAAACUGCUUUUAUACGGGAAGAAACCCUGGCUCGUGAGCCAGACUGACGGUACCGUAAGAAUAAGGACCGGCUAACUCCGUGCCAGCAGCCGCGGUAAUACGGAGGGUCCAAGCGUUAUCCGGAAUCAUUGGGUUUAAAGGGUCCGUAGGCGGACUUGUAAGUCAGUGGUGAAAUCUCCCGGCUCAACCGGGAAAUUGCCAUUGAUACUGCAAGUCUUGAAUUAUUAGGAAGUAACUAGAAUAUGUAGUGUAGCGGUGAAAUGCUUAGAUAUUACAUGGAAUACCAAUUGCGAAGGCAGGUUACUACUAAUAUAUUGACGCUGAUGGACGAAAGCGUGGGUAGCGAACA
rnacentral:rRNA from 1 species